rfam:Myotis lucifugus cont2.8135, whole genome shotgun sequence.
AGAGGCCCUCCGUGGCCGGGGUGGAACACUUGCCUCGUCGCUGCGGCGAUGAAGCAAACAUUCCACCAGGCCACUCAUGCUGCCUCC